rnacentral:rRNA from 1 species
GACGAACGCUGGCGGCGUGCCUAAUACAUGCAAGUUGAGCGCUGAAGGUUGGUACUUGUACCAACUGGAUGAGCAGCGAACGGGUGAGUAACGCGUGGGGAAUCUGCCUUUGAGCGGGGGACAACAUUUGGAAACGAAUGCUAAUACCGCAUAAAAACUUUAAACACAAGUUUUAAGUUUGAAAGAUGCAAUUGCAUCACUCAAAGAUGAUCCCGCGUUGUAUUAGCUAGUUGGUGAGGUAAAGGCUCACCAAGGCGAUGAUACAUAGCCGACCUGAGAGGGUGAGCGGCCACAUUGGGACGGGGACACGGCCCAAACUCCUACGGGAGGCAGCAGUAGGGAAUCUUCGGCAAUGGACGAAAGUCUGACCGAGCAACGCCGCGUGAGUGAAGAAGGUUUUCGGAUCGUAAAACUCUGUUGGUAGAGAAGAACGUUGGUGAGAGUGGAAAGCUCAUCAAGUGACGGUAACUACCCAGAAAGGGACGGCUAACUACGUG